UUUUUUUUAUCUUCUUUACAUACAUUUUCCUACUCAGAAAACCAUGGGCUGGUUGUGAUUGUUCCGCCCACUCUGAGCCAGAAGCGAAGUCCCGUGAAGGGACCGAACAUGAGGAAGGUCUUCGGCUGUGCAGAUCUGCGUGCUGGCUCGGUGUGCGGUUCGCGGUUUGAUGGUGGACUAAAUGGCUGCAACAGUUUCACCGCAAUACAUCUGCACAGACCUCCGGAACAUGGACAAAAUGAAAUGAUAAGUCAGCAAUACGAUGGAUAAGUGAAAGUGAAGUCCUAUUACCCAGUAUCUCAAUGCCCCCCAACAACGCUACCAUGGUUGCGCUUCCCGCAAACACGCCUCGGGCGGCUGCUGUGCUGCCACACGGAGGAGGCUUUCUUGGGGCUCUGCGACAACUACAGCGCAACCGACCAGGAGUACUAUUUUGACCGGAACCCUGGGGUCUUCCGCUGUGUGCUGAAUUUAUUUAUUUUUUCCAAAUUUGUUUUUAUUGUUUUCUUGAAGUAACAUCACAUGAAAACAUAAAAUGAGACGGAUUCAAGUUUUACAAAGAAUUCUCCCUUCCCCCCUCCCACCUCCCACGACCCAGACAGCAACCCUAAAAUAAAGACCAAAUCAUAGUCUGUACACAUACAUAUAUGUAUAUACAUUGAAGAAAAUAAAAAAUAAAAUAAAAAAAAAUUGAAAAAAA